CACGGGAGGCUGCAGUGGGGAAUAUUGGACAAUGGGCGAAAGCCUGAUCCAGCCAUGCCGCGUGUGUGAAGAAGGCCUUCGGGUUGUAAAGCACUUUCAGUGGGGAAGAAAGCCUUGGGGCUAAUACCCUCGAGGAAGGACAUCACCCACAGAAGAAGCACCGGCUAACUCCGUGCCAGCAGCCGCGGUAAUACGGAGGGUGCGAGCGUUAAUCGGAAUUACUGGGCGUAAAGCGCGCGUAGGCGGUCUGAUAAGCCGGUUGUGAAAGCCCCGGGCUCAACCUGGGAACGGCAUCCGGAACUGUCAGGCUAGAGUGCAGGAGAGGAAGGUAGAAUUCCCGGUGUAGCGGUGAAAUGCGUAGAGAUCGGGAGGAAUACCAGUGGCGAAGGCGGUCUUCUGGACUGACACUGACGCUGAGGUGCGAAAGCGUGGGUAGCAAACAGGAUUAGAUACCCGUGUAGUC
rnacentral:rRNA from 1 species